AGUGAACGCUGGCGGUAGGCCUAACACAUGCAAGUCGAACGGCAGCACAGUAAGAUCUUGCUCUUACGGGUGGCGAGUGGCGGACGGGUGAGGAAUACAUCGGAAUCUACUUUUUCGUGGGGGAUAACGUAGGGCAACUUACGCUAAUACCGCAUACGACCUACGGGUUAAAGCAUUUGAUCUUCCGACCUUUCGCGUUUUAAUUAGCCGAUGUCGGAUUAGCUAGUUGGCUGGGUAAAGGCCCACCAAGGCGACGAUCCGUAGCUUGUCUGAGAGGAUGAGCAGCCACACUGGAACUGAGACACGGUCCAGACUACUACGGGAGGAAGCAGUGGGGAAUAUUGGACAAAGGGCGCAAGCCUGAUCCAGCCAUACCGCGUGGGUGAAGAAGGCCUUCGGGUUGUAAAGACCUUUUGUUGGGAAAGAAAAGAAGCAGGUUAAUACCCCGCUGUUCUGACGGUACCCAAAGAAUAAGCACCGGCUAACUUCGUG
rnacentral:rRNA from 1 species